rnacentral:rRNA from 1 species
AGCGAACGCUGGCGGCAGGCUUAACACAUGCAAGUCGAGCGGGCCCUUCGGGGUCAGCGGCAGACGGGUGAGUAACACGUGGGAACGUACCCUUUGGUUCGGGAUAACGCUGGGAAACUAGCGCUAAUACCGGAUACGCCCUUUUGGGGAAAGGCUUGCUGCCGAAGGAUCGGCCCGCGUCUGAUUAGCUAGUUGGUGGGGUAAUGGCCUACCAAGGCGACGAUCAGUAGCUGGUCUGAGAGGAUGAUCAGCCACACUGGGACUGAGACACGGCCCAGACUCCUACGGGAGGCAGCAGUGGGGAAUAUUGGACAAUGGGCGCAAGCCUGAUCCAGCCAUGCCGCGUGAGUGAUGAAGGCCUUAGGGUUGUAAAGCUCUUUUGUCCGGGACGAUAAUGACGGUACCGGAAGAAUAAGCCCCGGCUAACUUCGUG